rnacentral:rRNA from 1 species
AGUGAACGCUGGCGGUAGGCCUAACACAUGCAAGUCGAACGGCAGCACAGUAAGAGCUUGCUCUUACGGGUGGCGAGUGGCGGACGGGUGAGGAAUACAUCGGAAUCUACUUUUUCGUGGGGGAUAACGUAGGGAAACUUACGCUAAUACCGCAUACGACCUACGGGUGAAAGCAGGGGAUCUUCGGACCUUGCGCGAUUGAAUGAGCCGAUGUCGGAUUAGCUAGUUGGCGGGGUAAAGGCCCACCAAGGCGACGAUCCGUAGCUGGUCUGAGAGGAUGAUCAGCCACCCUGGACCUGAGCCACGUCCCAGCCUCCUAGGGGAGGCAGCAGUGGGGAAUAUUGGACAAUGGGCGCAAGCCUGAUCCAGCCAUCCCGCGUGGGUGAAGAAGGCCUUCGGGUUGUAAAGCCCUUUUGUUGGGAAAGAAAGGCAGCAGGUUAAUCCCCCGCUGUUCUGCCGGUACCAAAAGAAUAAGCACCGGCUACCUUCGU